UGGGGAAUAUUGGACAAUGGGGCAACCCUGAUCCAGCAAUGCCGCGUGUGUGAAGAAGGUCUUCGGAUUGUAAAGCACUUUCGACGGGGACGAUGAUGACGGUACCCGUAGAAGAAGCCCCGGCUAACUUCGUGCCAGCAGCCGCGGUAAUACGAAGGGGGCUAGCGUUGCUCGGAAUGACUGGGCGUAAAGGGCGUGUAGGCGGUUUACACAGUCAGAUGUGAAAUCCCCG
rnacentral:rRNA from 1 species